AUAACGGUCCUAAGGUAGCGAAAUUCCUUGUCAGGUAAGUUCUGACCCGCACGAAAGGCGUAACGAUUUGGGCGCUGUCUCGGCAGCAGACUCGGUGAAAUCUUAGUACCUGUGAAAAUGCAGGUUACCCGCAACUAGACGGAAAGACCCCAUGGAGCUUUACUGCAGCCUGAUAUUGAGUUUCGAUCAGAGAUGUACAGGAUAGGUGGGAGACAAAGAGACAUGCACGCCAGUGUAUGAGGAGUCGCUGUUGGGAUACCACUCUUGUCUGAUUGGAAUUCUAACCUGCAUCCCUAAGCGGGAUGAGGGACCGUGUCAGGUGGGCAGUUUGACUGGGGCGGUCGCCUCCCAAAGAGUAACGGAGGCGCCCAAAGGUACGCUCAGAUUGGAUGGAAAUCAAUCGACGAGUGCAAAUGCAGAAGCGUGCUUGACUGCGAGACAAACAGGUCGAGCAGGGACGAAAGUCGGGAUUAGUGAUCCGGCGGUGCCGAAUGGAAGGGCCGUCGCUCAACGGAUAAAAGCUACCCUGGGGAUAACAGGCUGAUCUCGCCCAAGAGUUCACAUCGACGGCGAGGUUUGGCACCUCGAUGUCGGCUCAUCGCAUCCUGGAGCUGAAUUCGGUUCCAAGGGUUGGGCUGUCCGCCCAUUAAAGCGGUACGCGAGCUGGGUUCAGAACGUCGUGAGACAGUUCGGUCCCUAUCUGUUGUGGGCGAAGGAGAUUUGAGGAGAGCUGUCCUUAGUACGAGAGGACCGGGAUGGACCUACCGCUGGUGCACCGGUUGUUCCGCCAGGAGCAUAGCCGGGUAGCUAAGUAGGGAAGGGAUAAGCGCUGAAAGCAUCUAAGCGCGAAGCCUACUCCAAGAUGAGAUCUCCCAUUCGCAAGAAGUAAGACCCCUUGAAGACGACGAGGUAGAUAGGUCAGGGAUGGAAGCAUAGCGAUAUGUGAAGUUGACUGAUACUAAUAGGUCGAGGACUUAAUCAC
rnacentral:rRNA from 1 species